rnacentral:misc_RNA from 1 species
GGCGAGGAGCUUCGAGAGCGCGAAGGCGGCGGUGAGGCGCGGGAGGCGGAGCCGCGUGAGGUGCGCGUGCGCGCUGCGGAGCGCGAGGAGGCCCGGGCAUCGGCGGACCAGCGAGACGAUGUGGGCCUCGAGGGCCUCGCGCGGGAGUGUGGCGGCUUCCUUCGGUUUGAGCAGUUGCAUGCGAGGCGUUCUUUCUCUGCGGGGCUCGGCCGCUCGGGACGUAGCAGCGGCGUGGUUCCUGUUCGUGUGCAGGGACUGCAGCCUGCAGAUAGAAAUAAUAGUUCACUGUCUGAAAGUAUAGUAAAACGUAAUCAAGUCAUGGC